rnacentral:tRNA from 1 species
GUCCCAGUGGCCGAGUGGUUAAGGCGAUGCCCUGCUAUUAAUUUGGAUAGCAAUCAGGCAUUGGGCUAUGCCUUCGCAGGUUCGAAUCCUGUCUGUGACG